UACGAAGGGAGCUAGCGUUGUUCGGAAUCACUGGGCGUAAAGCGCACGUAGGUGGAUAGUUAAGUGAGGGGUGAAAGCCCGAGGCUCAACCUCGGAAUUGCCUCUCAUACUGGCUGUCUCGAGUCCGAGAGAGGUGGGUGGAAUUCCUAGUGUAGAGGUGAAAUUCGUAGAUAUUAGGAAGAACACCGGUGGCGAAGGCGGCCCACUGGCUCGGUACUGACACUGAGGUGCGAAAGCGUGGGGAGCAAACAGG
rnacentral:rRNA from 1 species